UACGAAGGGGGCUAGCGUUGUUCGGAAUUACUGGGCGUAAAGCGCGCGCAGGCGGCUGUCCAAGUCAGUGGUGAAAGCCCGGAGCUCAACUCCGGAACUGCCAUUGAAACUGUUUAGCUUGAGGACGAGAGAGGUGAGUGGAAUUCCCAGUGUAGAGGUGAAAUUCGUAGAUAUUGGGAAGAACACCGGUGGCGAAGGCGGCUCACUGGCUCGUUUCUGACGCUCAGGCGCGAUAGCGUGGGGAUCAAACAGG
rnacentral:rRNA from 1 species